CACACGCAGCAUGAAUGAGUGAACAGAACUACACGUGGGGCGUGAAUGAAUGAAUGAACGGGGACUGGGACCAGACAGGAAGGAGAGAAUGAAGAGGACGGGCCACGAGGAAUGAAUGAAUGAAUGGGGCCACGCCCACAGGAUGAAUGAAUGUAGGGGGCGGGGCAUGUGGCGUGAGUGAAUGAAUGAAGGCAGAGACUGCGUGCUCCAGGGGGCGUGGCCUGGAAGCUGUGAGCGCAGCCGCGCAGGCGCCGCAGAAGGCCCCACCCACAGCCCUACCUGAGAACCGCAGCGGCUGGCCGCACAGAAUCUGCUGGAAAAUGGGGGGUCUCUGGAAGGAAAACGGAGUCGAGGACCGUAUGGUCACGACCUCCACUCACACAGGCGCCUCACACCCCUCCAGGCGAGACCCUCACUGGCUCACCCAGGGGCCCCUGCCCCUGAGACAGUGCGACAGUGUGACGUGGCCCCCGUCCCAGCCACAGAUCCGGCUGCAGGAUUAGUCAAGACUCCUUCACCUGAAAGUGGUGGGGUCCCAGCUCCGAGGAAGGUCAAAGCCGAAAGAGAUGCCAGACGGGUGUGGAGCUGACACCAGGAGGCCACCACCGCGUCUGUCCCGCACACGCGGCCCCGGGCCCCAGCCCACCCUCUGCGGCUCCGACCCCUCCCCAUGCCACAGCAACGUCAGAGGCUGUUCCUCACGCUCGCGGGUCUGGCAGAAGCAGACCCCCCCCAUCAACCUCACCUUCAUAGACAGCAGCCAAGCCCCCAGAGCCCGUGAUCUGGGCCGCACGGUGUCCUGCCCGCCCCUCGCAUAUCAUUCGUUUGCUUUUUAAUUGUGCCGUGAGCGACUGUUUAGGGGCCUGGAAUACCUCGUUUUUUAAUUUCUAUGUAUUAAUAUUUAAUCCCAACCAAGU